UUUAUACUCCCUUCGUCCUAAAAUUUUUGUCUUAGAUUAGUCUAGAUACAAAUGUAUCUAAUACUAAAACAUGACUUGAUACAUUCAUAUUUAAACAAAUCUAAGACAAAAAUUUUGAGACGGAGGGAAUACAAU
rnacentral:pre_miRNA from 1 species